rnacentral:rRNA from 1 species
AUCGAACGCUGGCGGCAGGCCUAAUACAUGCAAGUCGAGCGAGCGGCGGACGGGUGCGUACUGUCUGGUAAACCGUCUGUUGGAGACGCAUCACUACUGGAAACGGUAGCUAAAACCGCACUCCAUCAGCUUUGGCCAGGUGGGAAUGGCUAGUGGGGGGGGUAACGGCUCACCUAGGCGACGAUCCCUAGCUGGUCUGAGAGGAUGACCAGCCACACUGGAACUGAGACACGGUCCAGACUCCUACGGGAGGCAGCAGUGGGGAAUAUUGCACAAUGGGCGCAAGCCUGAUGCAGCAAUGCCGCGUGAGUGAAGAAGGUCUUCGGGUUGUAAAGCACUGUCGUCGGGGAGGCGUUACCCGCAGAGAAAGCACCGGCUAACUACGUGCCAGCAGCCGCGGUAAUAC